UCUAUUGAAAGUGCAGCACAACUAUUGUUCUGGUUGACACACAGAUCUGGCAAAAGGAAGCUAAGCCGGUGUCAAGCUGAACAAUGGCAAGCUGUUUCCCCUGCUUGAGCGCGAGGAAGAAGGAGGUCCCACGUUCUGCCCCGGCCAAUGCACACACCAGCAGCGUCCCUGGCGCUGUGGCACGAACUUUCUCCUUGAAGGAGCUCGCGGCGGCGACAAGAAACUUCAGCUCUGACUGCCGCAUCGCUGGUCGGGAGGCGGAUCUUUACAAAGGCUUCCUCAAGAGCAUCAAUCAUGUUGUUGCUAUAAAGCUGCAGCAUGCUGUUGAUCCAAGUGGAUCAGGGGAGCAAGAUAAUAGAGAGUUUCUUGCCCACGCGCUGACGAUGAGCGGGCUGCGCCACCCAAAUAUUGUCAAUCUUAUCGGCUUUUGUGCGGAUGGCCAUCACCGGAUCUUGGUUCACGAGUACAUGCCAUUGGGUUCUCUGGAAGAUCACCUCCACGGCGCCUCGCCUUCUCCACCUCCGGCUACUUAUAUGCAUGCCAACAAUCUAGCUACAAAGCUUAUAACUGCGUUCAUGAUUCGUUUGAGGUUGUGUUAGUUAACCACCUGAUCAAUUAAGAAAAAAAAGUUAACCACCUGAUCAUCUUGUGACCAUUAGGUUCAUCUCCAGGCAAAGCACCGCUGGACUGGAACACGAGGAUGAACAUUGCCGCCGGUGUGGCCAGAGGGUUGGAGUAUAUGCACGACAAAGGUGUCCUCUACCGAUGCGUCAAAAGUUCGGACAUCUUGCUCGGAGACGGCUACCACCCAAAGCUGUCCCAAUAUGGACUGGCGGAGCAUGACAAGGGCUGGUGUACUGGUAUCGCCAUAAGGACGGCAUUGGGUACUAUGGCCCCCGAGACCGUGAUGACCGGGAAGCUGCUCCCGGGGUCGAGUGUUUACGGCUUGGACACCAGGACGCCGGGGAGGAUCGACACCUUGUCACAUGGGCCCGAACAACGCUGAUGGACAGGAGCCAGUUCCGCCGGAUGGCAGACCCGGCGCUGCAGGGACGAUAUCCGUCCUUGGACUUGCAGGAGGCCCUCGAAGUUGCUUCGUUGUGCAUCCACGACAAUCAUGCCAUGAGAGCGCCCAUCGGCACCGUCGUCACGGCUCUGUCUCGCCUCGCCUACGAUGUUGAUCCACCCGAAUCAUCACACCGCACGACGCCUAAUUAACUUAGGAGGUAAACGGCGUCGUGUCAUCCAGAUGCGUCGAUCAUGAUUAAGUUGCUUGAUAUGCUAUGAGCUGUGACCGGCAACAAGUUGCGUUUGUGAUCGUUGCUUGCUCUGGAAUAACUAAUGCUUGGCCUGCAUGAUUUAGGAGCUCUUUUACUAUACCCCGAAAUGAAUAGACACCAUUCAUUUUCCUCAAUCCAACGGUUUGCGCGAUCUGGUACUCCAGCAUCAGUCCCCCGGAGUACUAACCGGGAAACAGGUGGAGUACCUCCGUUUGAGGGGCAAAAUGGUAAUCCCCAGCUUUGUUUAUGAUUUUCUUGUGAUGUGAGGAGUAUUUCAGCAUUUUCUUUUUCUUUUCUGUUUUCUCCCGGCUGGAAAUGAACGACGUAACCUAAACACAUUGCCCUAACCCUAGUAGCCUUCCUGCUCGUCCCCUCGUAUCCACCUGCGGCGGCGGCCUCUGCCCAGCCCAAAAAGCGGCCAACGGCGCAGGGUGCGCCUCGCCUUCUCCACCUCCGGCGACAUCAUCUGCAACAGCGGCCAUAGCGGCCAUAGUUGGCGAGGCACACGCGGCGUGGCGCGGAUCCGCGCCCAUGUCAGCCGGCGUUGGCGAGGCGCACGCCUCCCGGCUCGUCCCCUACUCCUCCAUCUCCGCUCGUCGAGCAGGUGCUCUAUCCAGGGCGUGCCCCGCAUACGGGUAGUAGAGCCGGCCGGAGAGAGGAUUUGUACUGUACCCAGGCGCUGACUGUACGUGUGGGUGGUCGAUAAACUGGGUUUUUCUGUCCAGAUGUCGGCUGAAUACGUCGUAAGAUCAGUGAGCCCUUCCCAUUAUCUUUGGUACUUGCUUUUGCUUUUCUCUGCAUUGGUUCAGGACAUAUAUAUGAAUGGACACCACUAGGCAUCAAGUAUGGAGAAGAGAAAAUUAUGCAGUGAUGGAGUACAUGAUAAUGAAUAAGCAAACCAGCUGACAAACUGUUCUGGAUCAAACCAGUUACUCUGAAAUAGAUUAUAAUGUUGUGUUCUCGGAAAGAUACCAUGUGACACAAUUUUCUCUAACAUGAACUUCUGGCAAUGUUUCAAAAUAUGUUUUGUCCAUCAUUUUUUAGUUCUAAUGGAUAUGUGUCCAUCAUUUUUUUUCGAAUUUAUGUUCUUAUUCCAUCCUACAUGGCCUAGAUUUAAUUAUAACAAAAGUUUGGGUAAUUGAGAUUAUUGGAAACCAAAAAAAGGUGUCACAUUGUUCCUUGUACAUGAUAGAUCUACAUGUCCUAGCUUAAUUCAGAAGAGUUUUGUAAACAGCAAUUAUUGGAAACAAAAAAACACUUGAAUCUAUGUUCGUUAUCCACCCUUGUAUUGUUCCCUAUACAACAUGGAGAUGUACACGUCCUAGUUUUAAGUAAGAAAAGUUUGGGUGAUGAUGAUUGACUAACGUGAACCUUGAUUCUUUCAUCAGGUUGUGGACUUGUGGCGAUCCUAGCGAUGCCAUUGAAGAUUUAUUUUUAUGAAAGAAUUUUUUCAUUCGGUUGUGGCGAUGCCAUUGUAGAUUUUCUUUUAUGUAGGGAAAUAGCUGGAUUUCUCCAUCAAUGUCCAAGUAACACAUUGACGACAGAUGAAUAUGGAGUGUUGUUGCUACGCUGUCGGACGAAUGUUGUGCAAAUCUCUCAGUUUUAUUGUGCGGAUGUUUUUUCCAUAACAUAUAAUGCCAUCUGAAACACCAUCCACAACGUAUAAAACCGUAUCUAUUUCUAAACUAAACAAAGCAAUUGUUCUUGUAAACAAAUAAAAAACAUAUAUCUUCAUUGGUACAGUAUGAUUUGACCACAAAUAUCACACUGAGUCGUUCAGACUGACAACUAAGCCUUUCCAGUCCACUUUGAGUAAUUCGGAUCCACACGUACAAAUAUGAGUCUUCUGGUCCGACAUGUACCACUGCAAGGUUGGUAUCUAGACACAUAAGUAGAAGUAUGAGUCGUUUUCCCGUCAUGUAUCGCUAUGAGUCAUCCGGACCCACACAUAGAACUUUCGAGUUAA